AAAUUGAAGAGUUUGAUCAUGGCUCAGAUUGAACGCUGGCGGCAGGCCUAACACAUGCAAGUCGAACGGUAGCACAGAGAGCUUGCUCUCGGGUGACGAGUGGCGGACGGGUGAGUAAUGUCUGGGAAACUGCCCGAUGGAGGGGGAUAACUACUGGAAACGGUAGCUAAUACCGCAUAACGUCGCAAGACCAAAGAGGGGGACCUUAGGGCCUCUUGCCAUCGGAUGUGCCCAGAUGGGAUUAGCUUGUUGGUGAGGUAACGGCUCACCAAGGCGACGAUCCCUAGC
rnacentral:rRNA from 1 species